rnacentral:lncRNA from 1 species
AGAUAUGUUCCUGACCCUUCCUUCUUGAAGGGACAGCUGUGUAACCAUUCAACCAUCUGGCCAUCAGUUUCCACAUCUGUGAAAUCAACUUCUGCCUCAUGGAGCCGUGAGUUCCCAAGGAAAUGCUGAGUUAAUGUGACCCAGCUUGUUCAAGGAGCAGCCAGGAUACCAGCCAGCCGCAGAGGCCUGAGGAAAGCAAAAGGAAACCAACUUGAGGCCACAUGACUGAAUGACAGUCCAGGGUACUUGGCACUGAUGCAGUAGUGAUAAGGAAUUCUUUAAGAAUUUAGGGCAGGGGUGUGAGGGUUAAUGUCAAGAAGGUUAGUCUGAUCUUAGCAAACAAACCAAGGUGAAUCGGAUUGACAGAAAUUCCAGUGAGAAGUUUAUGAUACAACUGCAACCCAGUGAGUGUGAUGACCAUGAGAAUGGAGUGGAGAGUACAAAAAUAACAGCAUUUAGUUGCAGAUUAGAAACAGAUGUGAAGGGCGAAAAAGCACCAUAGGGAAGGACAUAAGAGGUCCCUGGAGUCAGACUUGGGAGAUGUGAGUUUUAUCAGUUUUGCCAUUAGGUAGUUGUGUGCACCCUUGGGCAUAUAGCACUUUUUUGGUAAUUCUAUUUUCGCACUUUUCAAAUGAGAUGCAAUUAGAUUAGAGACUGUAAAGUAAAAGCUGCCAUGCUUCAUUUUUUUAAACCAAUAAAGCAUUUUAUAGGAGUUUGAA